AGUGAACGCUGGCGGUAGGCCUAACACAUGCAAGUCGAACGACAGCACAGUAAGAUCUUGCUCUUACGGGUGGCGAGUGGCGGACGGGUGAGGAAUACAUCGGAAUCUACUUUUUCGUGGGGGAUAACGUAGGAAAGCUUACGCUACUACCGCAUACGACCUACGGGUGAAAGCAAGAGAUCUUCGGACCUUGCGCGAUUGAAUGAGCCGAUGUCGGAUUAGCUAGUUGACGGGGUAAAGGCCCACCAAGGCGACGAUCCGUAGCUGAUCUGAGAGGAUGAUCAGCCACACUGGAACUGAGACACGGUCCAGACUCCUACGGGAGGCAGCAGUGGGGAAUCUUCGACAAUGGGCGCAAGCCUGAUCCAGCCAUACCGCGUGGGUGAAGAAGGCCUUCGGGUUGUAAAGCCCUUUUGUUGGGAAAGAAAAGCAGCAGGUUAAUACACCGAUGUUCUGACGGUACCCAAACAAUAAGCACCGGCUAACUUCGUG
rnacentral:rRNA from 1 species